GGCUGAAAUUCGCCUUCAUGAAGCUGGAAUUGCUAGUAAUGGCAGGUCAGCAUACUGCCGUGAAUACGUUCCCGGGCCUUGUACACACCGCCCGUCACACCAUGAGAGUUGGAAAUACCCGAAGCCUGUGAGCUAACAGUAAUGAGGCAGCAGUCGAAGGUAGAGCCAAUGAUUGGGGUGAAGUCGUAACAAGGUAAC
rnacentral:rRNA from 1 species